rnacentral:rRNA from 1 species
AACGAACGCUGGCGGCAUGCCUAACACAUGCAAGUCGAACGGGACCUUCGGAUCUACUUGCUCACGGGUGCGUCACGCGUGGGACCCUUCCCUUAGGCUCGGGAUACCUCCCUUUAGUGGGUGCUAAUACCGGAUAAUUUCUUCGAACCACAGAUUUAUCGCCUUUGUAUGAGCCCGCGUUGGAUUAGCUAGUUGCUAGUGUAAGAGCCUACCACGGCGACGAUCGUUAGCUGGUCUGAGAGGAUGAUCCGCCACACUGGGACGGAGACACGGCCCGGACUCCUACGGGAGGGAGGAGAGGGGAAUACUGGAAAAUGGGGGAAAGCAUGAUCCAGCAAGGCCGCGUGAGUGAUGAAGGCCGUAAGGUAGUAAAGCUCUUUUACCCGGGAUGAUAAUGACAGUACCGGGAGAAUAAGCACCGGCUAACUCCGUG